UACGGGGGGAGCAAGCGUUGUUCGGAAUCACUGGGCGUAAAGCGUGCGCAGGCGGCUAUGCAAGACAGAUGUGAAAUCCCCGGGCUCAACCUGGGAACUGCAUUUGUGACUGCAUGGCUAGAGUACGGCAGAGGGGGAUGGAAUUCCGCGUGUAGCAGUGAAAUGCGUAGAUAUUCGGAAGAACACCAGUGGCGAAGGCGACUCGCUGGACAAGUAUUGACGCUGAGGUGCGAAAGCGUGGGGAGCAAACAGG
rnacentral:rRNA from 1 species